CCAUAGUAAUAGAACCCAGAAUCAAACUCUAGACAAUGUUAGGGCAAGAGAAAAAGAAAAAAACCUUAUGAAAGAACGAUAAUAUAUCUCUGCUCAAUCGGAUCAAUCCUACACAAGGGUAGUGUUAGGACCUCCAUUGAGUUUCAUAAUGGAUGUGAAAUCUAGCGACCCAUCACCUCAACCUGCUGCCGACCUGCCAUUCCCUCCGGUCAAAAAUAAUGCUACUCAAAAUGCUGAGAGUGCAAAAGGGGUUUCUGGGGUUCUUGGAUCGUUUAGUCUUUUCCGAAGAAAACAAAAUGACUUUUCUUUGUAAUUUGUAUUAGUCUUUUUCUACAAAAGGUCUACUUGACACAUCUCAGGCUGCAGUGAAGGCUGUCCAGGUCAAGGCUCGCCAUCUCGUCUCUCAAAACAAACGAAGAUACCAGGAGGGAGGUCUAUAGCUACUAUAGACCGCCAAACCAAGUCUAGCAUGGAAGUUUCUCCCGCAUGGAAGCCUUCCCUAUUUCUGUUUUGAUUGCAGAGUGUUCUGUUUGGAUACACAAGUCAAG